rnacentral:rRNA from 1 species
GACGAACGCUGGCGGCGUGCUUAACACAUGCAAGUCGAACGGAAAGGCCCUGCUUUUGUGGGGUGCUCGAGUGGCGAACGGGUGAGUAACACGUGAGUAACCUGCCCUUGACUUUGGGAUAACUUCAGGAAACUGGGGCUAAUACCGGAUAGGAGCUCCUGCUGCAUGGUGGGGGUUGGAAAGUUUCGGCGGUUGGGGAUGGACUCGCGGCUUAUCAGCUUGUUGGUGGGGUAGUGGCGUACCAAGGCUUUGACGGGUAGCCGGCCUGAGAGGGUGACCGGCCACAUGGGGACUGAGAUACGGCCCAGACUCCUACGGGAGGCAGCAGUGGGGAAUAUUGCACAAUGGGCGGAAGCCUGAGGCAGCAACGCCGCGUGCGGGAUGACGGCCUUCGGGUUGUAAACCGCUUUCGCCUGUGACGAAGCGUGAGUGACGGUAAUGGGUAAAGAAGCACCGGCUAACUACGUG